rnacentral:rRNA from 1 species
UGCUGGGGUGGAUGAGUGGCGAACGGGUGAGUAACACGUGAGUAACCUGCCCCCGACUUCGGGAUAAGCCCGGGAAACUGGGUCUAAUACCGGAUAUGACCAACGCUCGCAUGAGUGUUGGUGGAAAGUUUUUUCGGUUGGGGAUGGGCUCGCGGCCUAUCAGUUUGUUGGUGAGGUAAUGGCUCACCAAGACGACGACGGGUAGCCGGCCUGAGAGGGCGACCGGCCACACUGGGACUGAGACACGGCCCAGACUCCUACGGGAGGCAGCAGUGGGGAAUAUUGCACAAUGGGGGAAACCCUGAUGCAGCGACGCAGCGUGCGGGAUGACGGCCUUCGGGUUGUAAACCGCUUUCAGCAGGGAAGAAGCCCCCUUGGGGGUGACGGUACCUGCAGAAGAAGUACCGGCUAACUACGUGCCAG